UGCUCCAAACUUUCUGAGCAGGACCAUGCGAAGCGUAGUCGUCUUCGUCAAACACAGUCGACUCGGAAGCUUAAGAACAAGAACUUGAAUUUGGCUCCUUGUACUCUGCUUGUUGAAUUUAUCAGUUGAAGCUUGUAGGAGAAACAUCAAGUUCAAUGGUUCAGUUGCAUGUUCAAAGGUGGAAUCACAUCUUGUUGAUGCUCGUGUGCCUCACCAACCAAAAAGAGUGUGAUGUGUGUAAUGGUUCAGGGAAGGGCACAUAAGGAGCAAUCUGGGUUUGAUUGUCAGGAUGCACUUAGAUUCCAGUAAGGUUUUGUUGAUAUUUGGCACUCCAACCAGAUCUUUGCCAAUGAGUCACUUGAAUAUCACAAAACCUGUGCAGGCGUGUUGUGAAGGUACGUACUGGACAUGAAGUUUAAUCUUCCAUUUUGAAGAGCCUUGUGAAUAAUGUGAAGAUGUGUGAGGCUCAUCCCGUUAAGCUUUUUUGAAUAAAAGCCAAAACUGCUAGUAUGUACUUUUGCCUUUGAAAUAUAGGU